UCCGUAGGGCGCGAGCGUUAUCCGGAAUUAUUGGGCUUAAAGAGCUCGUAGGUGGCUUGUCACGUCGGGGGUGAAAGCUUGGGGCUUAACUCCAGGUCUGCAUUCGAUACGGGCUGGCUAGAGGUAGGUAGGGGAGAACGGAAUUCCUGGUGUAGCGGUGAAAUGCGCAGAUAUCAGGAGGAACACCGGUGGCGAAGGCGGUUCUCUGGGCCUUACCUGACGCUGAGGAGCGAAAGCGUGGGGAGCGAACAGG
rnacentral:rRNA from 1 species